AAAAAGACAAACCUUGAUUUCCGUGCCCAACGUUUGACCGUCCGUCUUAUUUGAAAAAAUUAUGAAAAAAAAGUAAAAAGACAAGUCACGCAUAAAAUAUUAAUCAUGUUUUAUCAUUUAACAACAAUGAAAAUACAAAUUAUAAAAAAAUUUCAUAUAAGACGGACAGUCAAAGUUAGACACGGAAACCCAGGGUUUGUCUUUUU
rnacentral:pre_miRNA from 1 species